rnacentral:rRNA from 1 species
CCUGCCGGAGGCUACCGCUAUUGGAGUUCGAUUAAGCCAUGCGAGUCGAGAGUCUUAGGGGCUCGGCGUACCGCUCAGUAACACGUGGGUAACCUGCCCUAUGCUGGGGAAUAACCUCGGGAAACUGAGAAUAAUGCCCCAUAGUUCACUACGCCUGGAACGGUGAGUGGAUGAAAGCUCCGGCGGCAUAGGAUGGGCCUGCGGCGUAUCAGGUCGUAGGGGGUGUAACGUACCCUCUAGCCAUCGACGCGUACGGGUGUUGGGAGACAUAGCCCGGAGAUGGAUUCUGAGACACGAAUCCAGACCCUACGGGGUGCAGCAGGCGCGAAAACUUGGCAAUGCGAGAAAUCGUGACCAGGGAACUCCAAGUGGCUGGGGUAAGACCCAGUCUUUUCUUGACUCUUCAAAGGUCUUGGAAUAAGAGGUGGGUAAGGACGGUGCCAGCCGCCGCGGUAAUACCGGCGCCUCAAGUGGUAGUCGAUUUUAUUGGGCCUAAAACGUCCGUAGCCUGUUUGGUACAUUCGUGGGUAAAUCAACCAGCUCAACUGGUUGAAUUCUGCGAGCACGGCCAGACUUGGGACCGGGAGAGGUGUGGGGUACGCUCAGGGUAGGGGUAAAAUCCUGUCAUCCUGAGCGGACCACCUGUUGCGAAGGCGCCACACUAGAACGGAUCCGACGGUCAGGGACGAAGCCUAGGGGCACGAACCGGAUUAGAUACCCGGGUAGUCCUAGGUGUAAACGCUGUGGACUUGGUGUUGGGGAUGCUC